GACGAACGCUGGCGGCGUGCUUAACACAUGCAAGUCGAACGGUAAGGCCCUUCGGGAUACACGAGUGGCGAACGGGUGAGUAACACGUGGGUGAUCUACCCUGCACUUCGGGAUAAGCCUGGGAAACUGGGUCUAAUACCGGAUAGGACCACUGCCUGCAUGGGUGGUGGUGGAAAGCUUUUGCGGUGUGGGAUGGGCCCGCGGCCUAUCAGCUUGUUGGUGGGGUGAUGGCCUACCAAGGCGACGACGGGUAGCCGGCCUGAGAGGGUGACCGGCCACACUGGGACUGAGAUACGGCCCAGACUCCUACGGGAGGCAGCAGUGGGGAAUAUCGCACAAUGGGCGCAAGCCUGAUGCAGCAACGCCGCGUGAGGGAUGACGGCCUUCGGGUUGUAAACCUCUUUCAGCACCGACGAAGCGCAAGUGACGGUAGGUGCAGAAGAAGGACCGGCCAACUACGUGCCAGCCGCCGCCGUAA
rnacentral:rRNA from 1 species